AAGGCAGCAGGUGGGGAAUAUUGCACAAUGGGCGAAAGCCUGAUGCAGCUAUGCCGCGUGUAUGAAGAAGGCCUUAGGGUUGUAAAGUACUUUCAUCGGGGAGGAAAAAACAAAACUAAUAAUUUUAUUUCUUGACGUUACCCGAAAAAGAAGCACCGGCUAACUCCGUGCCAGCAGCCGCGGUAAUACGGAGGGUGCUAGCGUUAAUCAGAAUUACUGGGCGUAAAGAGCACGUAGGUGGUUUUUUUAAGUCAGAUGUGAAAUCCCUGGGCUUAACCUGGAACUGCAUUUUGAAACUGAAAUACUAGAGUAUCGUAGAGGGAGGUAGAAUUCUAGGUGUAGCGGUGAAAUGCGUAGAUAUCUGGAGGAAUACCUGUGGCGAAAGCGGGCCUCCUAAACGAAUACUGACACUGAGGUGCGAAAGCGUGGGGAGCAAACAGGGAUUAGAUACC
rnacentral:rRNA from 1 species